GGUUUCGUAGUGUAGAGGUUAGCACAUUGGAUUUUGAUUCCAAUAUCCCGGGUUCGACUCCCGGCGGAACCU
rnacentral:tRNA from 1 species